rnacentral:rRNA from 1 species
AGGCAGCAGUGGGGAAUAUUGCACAAUGGGCGCAAGCCUGAUGCAGCCAUGCCGCGUGUGUGAAGAAGGCCUUCGGGUUGUAAAGCACUUUCAGCGAGGAGGAAGGUGGUGAACUUAAUACGUUCAUCAAUUGACGUUACUCGCAGAAGAAGCACCGGCUAACUCCGUGCCAGCAGCCGCGGUAAUACGGAGGGUGCAAGCGUUAAUCGGAAUUACUGGGCGUAAAGCGCACGCAGGCGGUUUGUUAAGUCAGAUGUGAAAUCCCCGGGCUCAACCUGGGAACUGCAUUUGAAACUGGCAAGCUAGAGUCUCGUAGAGGGGGGUAGAAUUCCAGGUGUAGCGGUGAAAUGCGUAGAGAUCUGGAGGAAUACCGGUGGCGAAGGCGGCCCCCUGGACGAAGACUGACGCUCAGGUGCGAAAGCGUAGGGAGCAAACAGGAUUAGAUACCCUGGUAGUCCACGCUGUAAACGAUGUCGAUUUGGAGGUUGUGCCCUUGAGGCGUGGCUUCCGGAGCUAACGCGUUAAAUCGACCGCCUGGGGAGUACGGCCGCAAGGUUAAAACUCAAAUGAAUUGACGGGGGCCCGCACAAGCGGUGGAGCAUGUGGUUUAAUUCGAUGCAACGCGAAGAACCUUACCUACUCUUGACAUCCAGAGAACUUUCCAGAGAUGGAUUGGUGCCUUCGGGAACUCUGAGACAGGUGCUGCAUGGCUGUCGUCAGCUCGUGUUGUGAAAUGUUGGGUUAAGUCCCGCAACGAGCGCAACCC